rnacentral:misc_RNA from 1 species
UUUCCGUAGGUGAACCUGCGGAAGGAUCAUUACCAAAAAAUAAUCUUUCAACCUCUGAAAGAUCUUUCCUUUGUGCUGGCUUUGACAGUUUUGUACUUUUGGGGCUUUAAAAUCGUUCCGUUAGUAAAAGAAGGAGAGUAAUCCCUUUUUCAUUUCUCCUGCAUCGGCCCCAAAAAAUCUUAUCAUCCUUAUAAUUUUUUCUGCUUAAUUUACAAAUGAUUUUAAUAAUCUGUUUAAAACAACUUUCAACAACGGAUCUCUUGGUUCUC